rfam:Ascochyta rabiei strain ArDII scaffold_223, whole genome shotgun sequence.
GGGGAUGUGGCUCAGUGGUAGAGCGCCCGCUUUGCAUCUUCUCCAAGUUACGGCUUCGAGUACAUGAUAAUUUGCGGGAGGCCCAGGUUUCGAUCACCUGCUUCUCCA